AGAGUUUGAUCAUGGCUCAGAAUCAACGCUGGCGGCGCGCCUAACACAUGCAAGUCGCACGAGAAAGCGGGAGCAAUCUCGCAAGUACAGUGGCGUACGGGUGAGUAACACGUGGAUCAUCUGCCCUGGAGUGGGGAAUAACGCUGGGAAACCGGCGCUAAUACCGCAUAUUCCCGAGAGGGGAAAGCAGCAAUGCGCUCGAGGAGGAGUCCGCGGCCGAUUAGCUAGUUGGUAGGGUAAAAGCCUACCAAGGCUGUGAUCGGUAGCCGGCCUGAGAGGGCACACGGCCACACUGGCACUGAAACACGGGCCAGACUCCUACGGGAGGCAGCAGUGGGGAAUCUUGCACAAUGGGGGAAACCCUGAUGCAGCGACGCCGCGUGAGCGAUGAAGCCCUUCGGGGUGUAAAGCUCUUUCGGCAGGGAAGAUUAUGACGGUACCUGCAGAAGCAGCUGCGGCUAACUACGUGCCAGCAGCCGCGGUAAUACGUAGGCAGCAAGCGUUGUUCGGAGUUACUGGGCGUAAAGGGUGUGUAGGCGGCCUGUUAAGUUCCGUGUGAAAUCUCCCGGCUCAACCGGGAGGGUGCGCGGAAAACUGGCGGGCUAGAGUGCGGGAUGGGAGAGUAGAAUUCCUGGUGUAGCGGUGAAAUGCGUAGAUAUCAGGAGGAAUACCGGUGGUGUAGACGGCUCUCUGGACCGCAACUGACGCUGAAACACGAAAGCGUGGGUAGCAAACAGGAUUAGAUACCCCCGUAGUCC
rnacentral:rRNA from 1 species